GUUGGAUCGAUGAUGCUUAUGAAGAAACUGCGUUAUCUAUCUGUAAAUUCCUUAAUCGGAUCUGAUGAUAGUUUAAACUUCCUGAGAUCCUUC